GCAUACAGUGUGGUGUAGUGGUUAAGAGCAGUAGACUCGUAAUCUAGUGAACCGGGUUUGAUUCCCCGCUCCUCCACAUGCA
rnacentral:tRNA from 1 species